rnacentral:rRNA from 1 species
UACGUAGGGUGCGAGCGUUAAUCGGAAUUACUGGGCGUAAAGCGUGCGCAGGCGGCGCGUUAAGACAGGUGUGAAAGCCCCGAGCUUAACUUGGGAAUUGCGCUUGUGACUGGCGUGCUGGAGUGUGGCAGAGGGAGGUGGAAUUCCACGUGUAGCAGUGAAAUGCGUAGAUAUUGGGAAGAACACCUGAGGCGAAGGCGGGUUGCUGGGCCGACACUGACGCUAAGGCGCGAAAGCCAGGGGAGCAAACGGG